rnacentral:rRNA from 1 species
GACGUAGGGCGCGAGCGUUGUCCGGAUUUAUUGGGCGUAAAGAGCUCGUAGGCGGCUUGUCGCGUCGAAUGUGAAAACCCACGGCUCAACUGUGGGCUUGCAGCCGAUACGGGCAGGCGUAGAGUUCGGUAGGGGGAGACUGGAAUUCCUGGUGUAGCGGUGAAAUGCGCAGAUAUCAGGAGGAACACCGGUGGCGAAGGCGGGUCUCUGGGGCCGAUACUGACGCUGAGGAGCGAAAGCGUGGGGGAGCGAACAGGG